rnacentral:rRNA from 1 species
CUACGGGAGGCACCAGUGGGGAAUAUUGGACAAUGGGCGCAAGCCUGAUCCAGCAAUACCGCGUGUGUGAAGAAGGCCUGCGGGUUGUAAAGCACUUUCAAUUGGGAAGAAAAGCUUGGGGCUAAUAUCCUCGAGUCUUGACGUUACCUUUAGAAGAAGCACCGGCUAACUCCGUGCCAGCAGCCGCGGUAAUACGGAGGGUGCAAGCGUUAAUCGGAAUUACUGGGCGUAAAGCGCGCGUAGGCGGUUUGUUAAGUCAGAUGUGAAAGCCCUGGGCUCAACCUGGGAACUGCAUUUGAUACUGGCAGACUAGAAUCUGGUAGAGGGAAGUGGAAUUCCGGGUGUAGCGGUGAAAUGCGUAGAGAUCCGGAGGAACAUCAGUGGCGAAGGCGACUUCCUGGACCAAGAUUGACGCUGAGGUGCGAAAGCGUGGGUAGCAAACAGGAUUAGAUACCCUAGUAGUC